rnacentral:rRNA from 1 species
AGUCAAGUAAUUAAGUGCAUGUGGUGGAUGCCUUGGCAGUCAGAGGCGAUGAAAGACGUGAUAGCCUGCGAAAAGCUCCGGGGAGGCGGCAAAUAUCCUUUGAUCCGGAGAUGUCUGAAUGGGGGAACCCACCUACUUUAAGGUAGGUAUUGCAACAUGAAUACAUAGUGUUGCAAGGCGAACGAGGGGAAGUGAAACAUCUCAGUACCCUUAGGAAAAGAAAUCAAUUGAGAUUCCCUCAGUAGCGGCGAGCGAACGGGGAUCAGCCCAUUAAGUUAUGUGUGUUUUAGUGGAACGCUCUGGGAAGUGCGAACGUAGAGGGUGAUAUUCCCGUACACGAAAGGGCACACAUAAUGAUGACGAGUAGGGCGAGGCACGUGAAACCUUGUCUGAAUAUGGGGGGACCAUCCUCCAAGGCUAAAUACUCCUGACUGACCGAUAGUGAACCAGUACCGUGAGGGAAAGGCGAAAAGAACCCCUGUGAGGGGAGUGAAAUAGAUCCUGAAACCGCAUGCAUACAAGCAGUGGGAGCACCUUCGUGGUGUGACUGCGUACCUUUUGUAUAAUGGGUCAGCGACUUAUAUUCAGUAGCGAGGUUAACCGUAUAGGGGAGCCGUAGAGAAAUCGAGUCUUAAUAGGGCGUUUAGUUGCUGGGUAUAGACCCGAAACCAGGCGAUCUAUCCAUGAGCAGGUUGAAGGUUGGGUAACACUAACUGGAGGACCGAACCCACUGUCGUUGAAAAGCCAGGGGAUGACUUGUGGAUAGGGGUGAAAGGCUAAUCAAGCCUGGUGAUAGCUGGUUCUCCCCGAAAGCUAUUUAGGUAGCGCCUCGGACGAAUACCAUAGGGGGUAGAGCACUGUUUCGGCUAGGGGGUCAUCCCGACUUACCAAACCGAUGCAAACUCCGAAUACCUAUGAGUACUAUCCGGGAGACAGACUGCGGGUGCUAACGUCCGUAGUCAAGAGGAAAACAAUCCAGACCGCCAGCUAAGGCCCCA